ensembl:lncRNA
CUCACCCAGUUCCUUUGCUUAGUAUAUGCCUCACCAGUCGUUCUCUUAGUAUAUGCCUCACCCAGUCUCCUUCUCUUAGUAUAUGCCUCAUCCAGUCUGUUCUUAGUAUAUGCCUCACCAGUCUCCUUCUCUUUAGUAUAUGCUCACCAAGUCUCCUUCUCUUAGCUUAUGCCUCAUCCAGUCUGUUCUCUUAGUAUAUGCCUCACCAAGUCUCCUUCUCUUAAUAUAUGCCUCAUCCAGUCUGUUCUCUUAGUAUAUGCCUCACCAAGUCUCCUUCUCUUAGUAUAUGCCUCACCAAGUCUCCUUCUCUUGUAUAUGCCUCACACCCAGUCUCCUUCUGUUAGUAUGCCUCACCAGUCUCCUUCUGUAGUAUGCUCCACCCAGUCUGUUCUCUUAGUAUAUGCCUCACCCACGUCUCCUUCUCUUAAUAUAUGCCUCAUCCAGUCUGCUUCCUUGUAUAUGCCCUCACCCAAGUCUCCUUCUCUUAGUAUAUGCCUACCCAGUUCCUUCUCUUAGUAUAUGGCUCACCCAGUCUCCCUUUCAGUAUAUGCCCAUCCAGUCGUUCUUUUAGUUAUGCCUCACCCCCGUCUCUUCUCUUAGUAUAUGCCUAUCCCAGUCUGUUUCUUUAGUAUAUGCCUCACCCAGUCUCCUCUCUUAGUAUUGCCUCAUCCAGUCUCCUUCUGUUAGUAUGCCUCACCAGUCUGUUCUUUAGUAUAGCCUCACCAAGUCUCCUUCUCUUAGUAUAUGCCCUCCAGUCUUUCUCUUAGUAUAUGCCUCACCAGGUCUCCUUCUCUUAGUAUAUGCCUCACCCAGCUCUCUUCUAUUUUAGUCUAUGCUCAAUCCAGUCGUUUCCCUUAGUAUAUGCCUCACCCAGUCUCCUUCUCUUAGUAUAUGCUCACCCAGUCUCCUUCUCUAGUUAUAUGCCUCACCCAGUCUCCUUCUCUUAGUAUAUGCCUCAUCCAGUCUGUUCUUUUAGUAUAUGCCUCACCCAGUCUCCUUCUCUUAGUAUCUGCCUCCACAGUCUCCUUCUCUUCGUAUAUGCUCAUCCAGUCUUUUCUUGUUAGUAUAUGUCUCACCAGUUCCUUUCUUAGUAUAUGCCUCACCCAGUCUCCUUUCUUAGUAUAUGCCUCAUCCAGUCUGUUUCUCUUAGUAUAUGCUCACCCAGUCUCCUUCUCUUAGUAUAUGCCUCACCAGUCUCCUUCUUUAGUAUAUGCCUCACCCAGUUCCUUCUCUUAGUAUAUGCCUCAUUCCAGUCUGUUCUUUUCGUAUAGCCUCACCCAGUCUCCUUCUCUUAGUAUAUGCCUCACCCAGUCUCCUUCUCUUAGUAUAGCCUCAUCCAGUCGUUCUUUUAGUAUAUUGCCUCAUCCAGUCUGUUCUUUUAGUAUCCUGCCUCACCCAGUCUCCUUCUCUUAGUAUAUGCCUCACCCAGUCUCCUUCUCUUAGUAUAUGCCUCAUCAGUCUGUUUCUUUUAGUAUAUGCCUCACCCAGUCUCCUUCUCUUAGUAUAUGCCUCACCAAGUCUCCUUCUCUUAGUAUAUGCCUCACCCAGUCUGUUCUCUUAGUAUAUGCCUCAUCCAGUCUGUUCUUUUAGUAUAGGCCUCAUCCACUCUUACCAUCUUUCAGUCCUUCGCUCCCUCUCUUCUUACCUCUCUCCUUACUACUCUUGUAGAGGUUAUACUGAUAGAACAGAGGUUUGGUUCUCCUGAUUCAGAGGGGUUGGGUUAAAUAUGGAAGACACAUUUCAAUUGAAUGCAUUCAGUUGUUCAACUGACUAGGUAUCCCACUUUCACCUUUCCCUUUGCCUCCAAACACCAGCAUGCACUGGGCACCAAUCUGCUUCUCAUCAGCGCUGCCACGGAGCCACGGGCCAAAACUACAGCCUUCUUUCACUUUAUCAGCCCAGCGCAUAUCUCUCCACGCUCAAUUACAAAGCUGCACCGAUCACCUUCACGCAUUUAAACAAACACAGCCGGUGAAACAUAUCCCCUUUAUCACUGACAACCAAUGCACGAUACAAGUCCCAUUUAGCAUGUGAUGAGGAGAUAUUAUGUGAAUAUGUGUGAUAAUGAUCCAUUAAGGUG